rnacentral:lncRNA from 1 species
UUUUGAUUUUCUUGAUUGUAAAAUGGUGAGUACGACUUAUGCCUCUUUUUAAUUCCAUGUUCCUUUUGCUUAAAAAAUAUUGUGUCAAUGAUUUUUUUAAAAUUAAUUUUAAAAAAUUAAAAUGUUAGUGAUAAUAAGAAAGAAUAGAUAGAGCAACAAAAAUAUGAACUUCAAUAUUUAAUUUUUUUUUUUUUAAAGUUGU